CAGUCGCCACGGGAAUACGAACCGUGCGAACGCUAUUCGGAAUCACUGGGCUUAAAGCGCGUGUAGGCGGGCCGCCACGUCGGCUGCUGAAAUCCCCCGGCUCAACCGGGGAAGUGGCACCGAUACGAGCGGCCUGGAGGGGGGUAGGGGGGACUGGAACUUCCGGUGGAGCGGUGAAAUGCGUUGAGAUCGGAAGGAACGCCCGUGGCGAAAGCGAGUCCCUGGACCCUUACUGACGCUGAGACGCGAAAGCCAGGGGAGCGAACGGGAUUAGAUACCCCCGUAGUCCCUGUCUCUUAUA
rnacentral:rRNA from 1 species